ACUGGUCUUCGGUCAAGAGUAUAAGAGUAGCUCCCUGCUAGAAUCUUCAAACAAGAUCUCAAGAUCCAUUGUAGGAAUGUAGGGUAGUAAAGC
rnacentral:sRNA from 14 species